rnacentral:tRNA from 1 species
CGCAGGGUGGCGCAGAGGUAGCGCAUUUGGCUCAUAACCAAAGGGGCGGAGGUUCGAUUUCUUCCCCUGCAA